rnacentral:rRNA from 1 species
GACGAACGCUGGCGGCGUGCCUAAUACAUGCAUGUAGAGCGCAGUUGCGAACGGGUGAGUAACGCGUAGGUAACUGCCUCAUAGCGGGGGAUAACUAAUGGAAACGAUAGCUAAUACCGCCUACUGUGAGAUGGACCUGCGUUGUAUUUGCUAUUUGGGGGGGUAAAGGCUCACCAAGGCGACGAUACAUAGCCGACCUGAGAGGGUGAUCGGCCACCCUUGGACUGAGACACGGCCCAGACUCGUUCGGUAGGCAGCAGGAGGGAAUAUUCGGCAAUGGACGGAAGUCUGAGCGAGCAACGCCGCGGGAGUGAAGAAGGUUUUCGGAUAGUAAAGCUCUGUUGUUAGAGAAGCGGUAACUACCCAGCAAUGGACUGCUAACUACGUGGCAGCAGCCGCGGUAAUAC